GACGAACGCUGGCGGCGUGCUUAACACAUGCAAGUCGAACGAUGAAACCUAGCUUGCUAGGUCGAUUAGUGGCGAACGGGUGAGUAACACGUGACUAACCUGCCCCUUUCUCUGGGAUAACGCCCCGAAAGGAGUGCUAAUACCGGAUACUCACACCGAGGCACAUGCCUUGGCGUGGAAGUCUUCUCGGAAACGGAUGGAUUCGCGGCCUAUCAGAUUGUUGGUGAGGUAACGGCCCACCAAGGCGACGACGGGUAGCCGGCCGGAGAGGGCGACCGGCCACACUGGGACUGAGACACGGCCCAGGCUACUACGGGAGGCAGCAGGGGGGAAUAUUGCACAAUGGGCGCAAGGCUGAUGCAGCGACGACGCGUGAGGGAUGAAGGUCUUCGGAUUGUAAACCUCUUUCAGUAGGGACGAAGCGAAAGUGACGGUACCUAAAGAAGAAGCACCGGCUAACUACGUGCCAGCCGCCGCUGUAA
rnacentral:rRNA from 1 species